ACGGGCUUGGUAGAAUCAGCGGGGAAAGAAGACCCUGUUGAGCUUGACUCUAGUCCGACUUUGUGAAGACACAUGAAGNGGUGUAGCAUAGGUGGGAGCGCGAGCGACAGUGAAAUACCACUACUUUUAUCGUUUCUUUACUUAUUCAGUGAAACGGAGAGCGUGCCGCAAGGCACUCGCUUCUGGAGUUAACGGCCGCAUACCGGGUCGCGUCGCCUUCGCGGGCGCGCGCGGUCCGGGGCCGGAUCCGCUCUGAUGACAUUGCCAGGCGGGGAGUUUGACUGGGGCGGUACAUCUGUCAAAAGGUAACGCAGGUGUCCUAAGGCGAGCUCAGCGAGGACGGAAACCUCGNNUAGAGCAAAAGGGCAAAAGCUCGCUUGAUUUUGAUUUUCAGUACGAAUACAGACCGUGAAAGCGUGGCCUAUCGAUCCUUUUGACUUUAAGAGUUUUAAGCAAGAGGUGUCAGAAAAGUUACCACAGGGAUA
rnacentral:rRNA from 1 species